GGCGACGAUCUGUAGCUGGUCUGAGAGGACGACCAGCCACACUGGGACUGAGACACGGCCCAGACUCUACGGGAGGCAGCAGUGGGGAAUUUUGGACAAUGGGCGAAAGCCUGAUCCAGCAAUGCCGCGUGUGUGAAGAAGGCCUUCGGGUUGUAAAGCACUUUUGUCCGGAAAGAAAACCUCUUGGUUAAUACCUGAGGGGGAUGACGGUACCGGAAGAAUAAGCACCGGCUAACUACGUGCCAGCAGCCGCGGUAAUACGUAGGGUGCGAGCGUUAAUCGGAAUUACUGGGCGUAAAGCGUGCGCAGGCGGUUCGUUAAGACAGAUGUGAAAUCCCCGGGCUUAACCUGGGAACUGCAUUUGUGACUGGCGAGCUAGAGUAUGGCAGAGGGGGGUAGAAUUCCACGUGUAGCAGUGAAAUGCGUAGAGAUGUGGAGGAAUACCGAUGGCGAAGGCAGCCCCCUGGGCCAAUACUGACGCUCAUGCACGAAAGCGUGGGGAGCAAACAGGAUUAGAUACCCUGGUAGUCCACGCCCUAAACGAUGUCAACUAGUUGUUGGGUCUUCAUUGACUUAGUAACGUAGCUAACGCGUGAAGUUGACCGCCUGGGGAGUACGGUCGCAAGAUUAAAACUCAAAGGAAUUGACGGGGACCCGCACAAGCGGUGGAUGAUGUGGAUUAAUUCGAUGCAACGCGAAAAACCUUACCUACCCUUGACAUGGUCGGA
rnacentral:rRNA from 1 species